rnacentral:rRNA from 1 species
UACAGAGGUCCCAAGCGUUGUUCGGAUUCACUGGGCGUAAAGGGUGCGUAGGUGGUGAGGUAAGUCGGAUGUGAAAUCUCCGAGCUCAACUCGGAAAUGGCAUUGGAAACUACCUUGCUCGAGGGUUGGAGGGGGGACUGGAAUGCUUGGUGUAGCAGUGAAAUGCGUAGAUAUCAAGCGGAACACCAGUGGCGAAGGCGAGUCCCUGGGCAACUCCUGACACUGAGGCACGAAAGCUAGGGGAGCAAACAG